rnacentral:misc_RNA from 1 species
ACACCUCAACUCUUCAUGGUUUUCCAUGAUGAGCUUGGACUUUGGGGGUCUUGCUGGCCUGCGGUCGGCUCCUCUCAAAUGAAUCAGCUUGCCAGUGUUUGGUGGGCAUCACAGGUGUGAUAACUAUCUACGCUUGUGGUUUUCCACCAGGUAACCUUCAGCAGUGGAGGUUCGCUGGAGCUCACAGACGUCUCUCCUCAGCGAGGACAGCCCUUUGAAU